AGAUUGAACGCUGGCGGCAUGCCUUACACAUGCAAGUCGAACGGUAACAGGCCGCAAGGUGCUGACGAGUGGCGAACGGGUGAGUAAUGUAUCGGAACGUGCCCAGUCGUGGGGGAUAACGCAGCGAAAGCUGCGCUAAUACCGCAUACGAUCUAUGGAUGAAAGCGGGGGACCGUAAGGCCCCGCGCGAUUGGAGCGGCCGAUAUCAGAUUAGGUAGUUGGGUGGGUAAAGGCUCACCAAGCCAACGAUCUGUAGCUGGUCUGAGAGGACGACCAGCCACACUGGAACUGAGACACGGCCCAGACUCCUACGGGAGGCAGCAGUGGGGAAUUUUGGACAGUGGGCGCAAGCCUGAUCCCAGCAAGUGCCGCGUGCAGGAAGAACGGCUUCGGUUGUAACGUG
rnacentral:rRNA from 1 species